UACGGGGGGGCAAGCGUUGUUCGGAAUUACUGGCGUAAAGGGCGCGUAGGCGGCCUGCUAAGUCGGACGUGAAAUCCCUCGGCUCAACCCGGGGAACUGCGUCCGAUACUGGCGAGGCUUGAAUCGGGAGAGGGAUGUGGAAUUCCAGGUGUAGCGGUGAAAUGCGUAGAGUAUCUGGAGGAACACCAGUGGCGAAGGCGGCAUCCUGGACCGGCAUUGACGCUGAGGCGCGAAAGCUAGGGUAGCAAACGGGAUUAAGAAACCCCGAGGUACGUCC
rnacentral:rRNA from 1 species